CAGUAGCCGCGGUAAUACGUAGGGUGCGAGCGUUAAUCGGAAUUACUGGGCGUAAAGCGUGCGCAGGCGGUUGUGUAAGACAGGUGUGAAAUCCCCGGGCUUAACCUGGGAACUGCGCUUGUGACUGCACAGCUAGAGUAUGGCAGAGGGGGGUGGAAUUCCACGUGCAGCAGUGAAAUGCGUAGAGAUGUGGAGGAACACCGAUGGCGAAGGCAGCCCCCUGGGCCAAUACUGACGCUCAUGCACGAAAGCGUGGGGAGCAAACAGGAUUAGAUACCCCUGUAGUCCCUGUCUCUUAUAC
rnacentral:rRNA from 1 species